rnacentral:piRNA from 1 species
UGAGAGUGCACUGCAGAAAUGAAGCAGAGU